GGCCUAACACAUGCAAGUCGAACGCGAAAGUGGAGCAAUCCAUGAGUAGAGUGGCAAACGGGUGAGUAACGCGUGGGUGACCUGCCUUCGAGUGGGGGAUAACGUUUCGAAAGGGACGCUAAUACCGCAUGACAUCCUGCCUUUGAAGAGGCGGAGAUCAAAGCCGGGGAUCGCAAGACCUGGCGCUUGUUGAGGGGCCCGCGUCUGAUUAGCUAGUUGGUGGGGUAACGGCUCACCAAGGCAACGAUCAGUAUCCGGCCUGAGAGGGCGGACGGACACACUGGGACUGAGACACGGCCCAGACUCCUACGGGAGGCAGCAGUGGGGAAUUGUUCGCAAUGGGCGCAAGCCUGACGACGCAACGCCGCGUGGAGGAUGAAGACCUUCGGGUCGUAAACUCCUUUCGAUCGAGACGAACGGUUUCCGGGUGAACAAUCCGGAAGAGUGACG
rnacentral:rRNA from 1 species